AUUGAACGCUGGCGGCAGGCCUAACACAUGCAAGUCGAGCGAGCGGCGGACGGGUGAGUAAUGUAUGGGAAACUGCCUGAUGGAGGGGGAUAACUACUGGAAACGGUAGCUAAUACCGCAUACUAUCAGAUGAGCCCAUAUGGGAUUAGCUAGUAGGUGGGGUAAAGGCUCACCUAGGCGACGAUCCCUAGCUGGUCUGAGAGGAUGAUCAGCCACACUGGAACUGAGACACGGUCCAGACUCCGACGGGAGGCAGCAGUGGGGAAUAUUGCACAAUGGGCGCAAGCCUGAUGCAGCCAUGCCGCGUGUGUGAAGAAGGCCUUAGGGUUGUAAAGUACUUUCAGCGGGGAGGCGUUACCCGCAGAAGAAGCACCGGCUAACUCCGUGCCAGCAGCCGCGGUAAUAC
rnacentral:rRNA from 1 species